AGCUAACGCGUUAAGUCGACCGCCUGGGGAGUACGGCCGCAAGGUUAAAACUCAAAUGAAUUGACGGGGGCCCGCACAAGCGGUGGAGCAUGUGGUUUAAUUCGAUGCAACGCGAAGAACCUUACCUGGUCUUGACAUCCACAGAACUUUCCAGAGAUGGAUUGGUGCCUUCGGGAACUGUGAGACAGGUGCUGCAUGGCUGUCGUCAGCUCGUGUUGUGAAAUGUUGGGUUAAGUCCCGCAACGAGCGCAACCCUUAUCCUUUGUUGCCAGCGGUCCGGCCGGGAACUCAAAGGAGACUGCCAGUGAUAAACUGGAGGAAGGUGGGGAUGACGUCAAGUCAUCAUGGCCCUUACGACCAGGGCUACACACGUGCUACAAUGGCGCAUACAAAGAGAAGCGACCUCGCGAGAGCAAGCGGACCUCAUAAAGUGCGUCGUAGUCCGGAUUGGAGUCUGCAACUCGACUCCAUGAAGUCGGAAUCGCUAGUAAUCGUGGAUCAGAAUGCCACGGUGAAUACGUUCCCGGGCCUUGUACACACC
rnacentral:rRNA from 1 species